rnacentral:rRNA from 1 species
UACGUAGGGGGCAAGCGUUGUUCGGAAUUAUUGGGCGUAAAGCGCGUGUAGGCGGUUUCGCAAGUCGGGUGUGAAAGCCCUCAGCUCAACUGAGGAAGUGCGCCCGAAACUGCGGAGCUUGAGUACCGGAGAGGAUGGCGGAAUUCCCCAAGUAGAGGUGAAAUUCGUAGAUAUGGGGAGGAACACCGGUGGCGAAGGCGGCCAUCUGGACGGAUACUGACGCUGAGACGCGAAAGCGUGGGUAGCAAACAGG